rnacentral:rRNA from 1 species
AUUGAACGCUGGCGGCAUGCCUUACACAUGCAAGUCGAACGGCAGCAUGAUCUAGCUUGCUAGAUUGAUGGCGAGUGGCGAACGGGUGAGUAAUACAUCGGAACGUGCCCUGUAGUGGGGGAUAACUAGUCGAAAGAUUAGCUAAUACCGCAUACGACCUGAGGGUGAAAGUGGGGGACCGCAAGGCCUCAUGCUAUAAGAGCGGCCGAUGUCUGAUUAGCUAGUUGGUGAGGUAAAGGCUCACCAAGGCGACGAUCAGUAGCUGGUCUGAGAGGACGAUCAGCCACACUGGGACUGAGACACGGCCCAGACUCCUACGGGAGGCAGCAGUGGGGAAUUUUGGACAAUGGGCGAAAGCCUGAUCCAGCAAUGCCGCGUGUGUGAAGAAGGCCUUCGGGUUGUAAAGCACUUUUGUCCGGAAAGAAAUGGCUCUGGUUAAUACCUGGGGUCGAUGGCGGUACCGGAAGAAUAAGGACCGGCUAACUACGUG